rnacentral:rRNA from 1 species
GAUGAACGCUGGCGGCGUGCCUAAUACAUGCAAGUAGAACGCACAGUUUAUACCGUAGCUUGCUACACCAUAGACUGUGAGUUGCGAACGGGUGAGUAACGCGUAGGUAACCUGCCUGGUAGCGGGGGAUAACUAUUGGAAACGAUAGCUAAUACCGCAUAAUAUUAAUUAUUGCAUGAUAAUUAAUUGAAAGGUGCAAUUGCACCACUACCAGAUGGACCUGCGUUGUAUUAGCUAGUAGGUGAGGUAACGGCUCACCUAGGCGACGAUACAUAGCCGACCUGAGAGGGUGAUCGGCCACACUGGGACUGAGACACGGCCCAGACUCCUACGGGAGGCAGCAGUAGGGAAUCUUCGGCAAUAGACGAAAGUCUGACCGAGCAACGCCGCGUGAGUGAAGAAGGUUUUCGGAUCGUAAAGCUCUGUUGUAAGAGAAGAACGGGUGUGAGAGUGGAAAGUUCACACUGUGACGGUAUCUUACCAGAAAGGGACGGCUAACUACGUG